AUGCUCCGCUAUUUUGAAUAUUUGGAUAUUUUCACUAAACUGGGAAUCUUCACAGCAUCCUUCUCAAACUUCCUGCUUAUCUAUCUUACUUUAUUUUACAUCCGACAAAUUCGUGGAACCUAUAAGCAAAUGGUUGUGAUCUUAGCGCUCACUGGAAUUGCUUUUUCCAGCUGGGAGCUACUUGCUCGACCAUUUGCUCAUAACUAUAAUCGAGCUUUCGUGUUUUUUAGCCUAAACACCCAAAAUUCCUUAUUUCUUGUUCAAAUUUCGGUGGCAGUUUAUGCAGGAUUUUAUCUCUUCAUUCUGGCAUUUUUUGUAGUUCAAUUUGUCUUUCGCUAUGUAAGCCUGGUAAAUCCAAUUUCUACGAGAAAAUUUGGCGGUUUUGGAUGUAUCCUUUGGAUGGGAUAUCCGUUGAUUUGUGGGGGUGUUUAUGGCGGUUUGUUGAGCUGGGCAGGAAGUCCCGACGAGUAUUCGGAUGACUAUUUGAGAAAUACAUUUUUGGAUUCUUACGACUUGGAUAUAACCCAGACAGCUCGAUUUGUCUUAAUUCCUUAUGCUUCUGAUGACUCGUUACGAUGGCGAAAUCUAUCUUUUAUCAUUUGUGGUGGAUCCUUAUUAACCGUUCAACUGGCGGAAUUAUUGCUCUUUUGAGUGUCUAUCCGCCAAUCGAUUCAUUUGUUUUUAUUAUGAUCGUGUCGGAGUAUAGGAAAGUUGUGAGCAAUGGUUUGUGUCGAAGAAAAAAGAUUUCCAAUCAUUCAACAGACGUCUUCAUUAUUUGA
rnacentral:misc_RNA from 1 species